rfam:Gossypium arboreum cultivar AKA8401 contig_567_11, whole genome shotgun sequence.
AAUCCCAGAAUGAUAAAUUAGAUUUUUUCUCAUCAUUUUCAGCUUUUUUCUUUUUAAAAAAAUUUAAAUCCAACUAAAAAUGCUAAAAGUGAAAGGGAAAAAUCUGAUUUAUCAUUUUACAAUU